rnacentral:rRNA from 1 species
UACAGAGACUGCAAGCGUUAUUCGGAUUCACUGGGCGUAAAGGGUGCGCAGGCGGCCGGGUGUGUCAGAUGUGAAAUCCCGAGGCUCAACCUCGGAACUGCGUCUGAAACUACUCGGCUAGAGUACUGGAGAGGGUAACGGAAUUCACGGUGUAGCAGUGAAAUGCGUAGAUAUCGUGAGGAACACCAGAGGCGGAGGCGGUUACCUGGACAGUUACUGACGCUCAGGCACGAAAGCAUGGGGAGCAAAAGGG